rnacentral:rRNA from 1 species
ACGGGGCAGCAGUGAGGAAUAUUGGUCAAUGGGCGAGAGCCUGAACCAGCCAAGUAGCGUGCAGGAUGACGGCCCUAUGGGUUGUAAACUGCUUUUAUAUGGGGAUAAAAAAGAGUACGUGUACUUUAUUGCAGGUACCAUAUGAAUAAGGACCGGCUAAUUCCGUGCCAGCAGCCGCGGUAAUACGGAAGGUCCAGGCGUUAUCCGGAUUUAUUGGGUUUAAAGGGAGCGUAGGCGGCAUAUUAAGCGUGUUGUGAAAUGUAGAUGCUCAACAUCUGAAUUGCAGCGCGAACUGGUUUGCUUGAGUGCGCGAGAAGUAGGCGGAAUUCGUCGUGUAGCGGUGAAAUGCUUAGAUAUGACGAAGAACUCCGAUUGCGAAGGCAGCUUACUGUAGCGUAACUGACGCUGAAGCUCGAAAGUGCGGGUAUCGAACAGGAUUAGAUACCCUGGUA